rnacentral:rRNA from 1 species
AUUGAACGCUGGCGGCAGGCUUAACACAUGCAAGUCGAGCGGGGUGAUGGUGCUUGCACUAUCACUUAGCGGCGGACGGGUGAGUAAUGCUUAGGAAUCUGCCUAUUAGUGGGGGACAACAUCUCGAAAGGGAUGCUAAUACCGCAUACGUCCUACGGGAGAAAGCAGGGGAUCACUUGUGACCUUGCGCUAAUAGAUGAGCCUAAGUCGGAUUAGCUAGUUGGUGGGGUAAAGGCCUACCAAGGCGACGAUCUGUAGCGGGUCUGAGAGGAUGAUCCGCCACACUGGGACUGAGACACGGGCCAGCAUCCUACGGGAGCCAGCAGUGGGGAACCUUGGACAAUGGGGGGAACCCUGCUCCAGCCAUCCACCGCGUGCGCAGCAGGCCUCAUCGUUGCAUAGCACGUUAUUUUAGUAGGAGGCUCUUUUGGUUAAUACCCAAGAUGAGUGGACGUUACUCGCAGACCAAGCACCGGCUAACUCUGUGCCAGCAGCCGCGGUAA